UUAAACUGCAGGAGGCUCAGUCUCUUUGCAUAGCUCAGCUCACUGGGGGUCAGUAAAUGGGGAGCCCAUUUUCCCAGGGUGGCAGGUCAGAUAGUGGUAAAUGGUCUUGUUGCCUACUGAGAGAGGAAGGGGGAAAGGGAAGGAUGUUCGUGGAAUUGUUUUCAAAAUAUACUCUUGUCUUUUAGGUGCUGUGAAGAGCAGGUCCUCCUUUGUGGAUUUAGC
rnacentral:lncRNA from 12 species